rnacentral:rRNA from 1 species
UCCCUUUAGCGAGACUGCCGGUAAUAAACCGGAGGAAGGUGGGGAUGACGUCAAAUCAUCAUGCCCCUUAUGACCUGGGCUACACACGUGCUACAAUGGUUGGUACAACGAGUCGCAAGCCGGUGACGGCAAGCUAAUCUCUUAAAGCCAAUCUCAGUUCGGAUUGUAGGCUGCAACUCGCCUACAUGAAGUCGGAAUCGCUAGUAAUCACGGAUCAGCACGCCGCGGUGAAUACGUUCCCGGGCCUUGUACACACCGCCCGUCACACCACGAGAGUUUGUAACACCCGAAGUCGGUGAGGUAACCUAUUAGGAGCCAGCCGCCUAAGGUGGGAUAGAUGAUUGGGGUGAAGUCGUAACAAGGUAACCGUAA